rnacentral:rRNA from 1 species
CACACCGUAAACGAUGUCUACUAGCUGUUUGUGGAUUUAAUCCGUGAGUAGCGCAGCUAACGCGAUAAGUAGACCGCCUGGGGAGUACGGCCGCAAGGUUAAAACUCAAAUGAAUUGACGGGGGCCCGCACAAGCGGUGGAGCAUGUGGUUUAAUUCGAUGCAACGCGAAGAACCUUACCUACUCUUGACAUCCAGUGAACAUUGCAGAGAUGCAUUGGUGCCUUCGGGAACAUUGAGACAG